UGAACUUUUCGGAACUCAUUGUGUUUGCUGCUGUACAGGAACUUGGUUUAUGACAUAGAAUUCGUAGGAAGAUUAUUUCCGUUGCGAAAGAAAGACCUUAUUGGCGAAGAAUGCACCGGUUGACGUUGUGGCUCACAACUUAAUUUUUUGUAACUCUGUAAUUUUGUGACUUGUAAUGGCCAUAAUGUUGAUAUGAAUGAAUAAUUGGUAACAUUGCAAUGAUCGAAAAUGUAUCCAUUUCUACAGGUAAAUACAUUGUAUAGUGCCGAGUUGAUUUUCUUUCAAUAGCACACGUCCAGAGUGCAACCUUAAC
rnacentral:lncRNA from 1 species